rnacentral:rRNA from 1 species
UGAAGUUUUCAAAGUUCCUAAAACCAAAGGCAUUGUGCUUGAUAAGUUUGAUGAGAUUAUUGGUGGCUUCCAGUUUGGCGUUGGAAUAAGGUAAUUGAAGGGCGUUGACAAUCUUUUCUUUAUCUUUGAGAAAGGUUUUAAAGACAGUCUGAAAAAUAGGAUGAACCUGCUUAAGAUUGUCCUCAAUAAGUCCGAAAAAUUUCUCUGGUUCCUUAUUCUGGAAGUGAAAAAGCAAGAGCUGAUAGAGCUGAUAGUGAUGUUUCAAGUCUUCCGAAUAGCUCAAAAGCUUGUUUAAAAUCUCUUUAUUGGUUAAGUGCAUACGAAAAGUAGGACGAUAAAAUCGCUUAUCACUCAGUUUACGGCUAUCCUGUUGAAUGAGUUUCCAGUAGCGCUUGAUAGCCUUGUAUUCAUGGGAUUUUCGAUGAAACUGAUUCAUGAUUUGGACACGCACACGACUCAUAGCACGGCUAAGAUGUUGUACAAUGUGAAAGCGAUCNCCCGUUAACGGGUGAUGGCGUGCCUUUUGUAGAAUGAACCGGCGAGUUACGAUCCCGUGCGAGGUUAAGCUGAAGAGGCGGAGCCGCAGCGAAAGCGAGUCUGAAUAGGGCGUUUAGUACGUGGUCGUAGACCCGAAACCAGGUGAUCUACCCAUGUCCAGGGUGAAGUUCAGGUAACACUGAAUGGAGGCCCGAACCCACGCACGUUGAAAAGUGCGGGGAUGAGGUGUGGGUAGCGGAGAAAUUCCAAUCGAACCUGGAGAUAGCUGGUUCUCCCCGAAAUAGCUUUAGGGCUAGCCUUAAGUGUAAGAGUCUUGGAGGUAGAGCACUGAUUGGACUAGGGGUCCUCAUCGGAUUACCGAAUUCAGUCAAACUCCGAAUGCCAAUGACUUAUCCUUAGGAGUCAGACUGCGAGUGAUAAGAUCCGUAGUCAAAAGGGAAACAGCCCAGACCGCCAGCUAAGGUCCCAAAGUGUGUAUUAAGUGGAAAAGGAUGUGGAGUUGCUUAGACAACUAGGAUGUUGGCUUAGAAGCAGCCACCAUUUAAAGAGUGCGUAAUAGCUCACUAGUCGAGUGACUCUGCGCCGAAAAUGUACCGGGGCUAAAUACACCACCGAAGCUGCGGAUUGAUACCAAUGGUAUCAGUGGUAGGGGAGCGUUCUAAGGACAGUGAAGUCAGACCGGAAGGACUGGUGGAGUGCUUAGAAGUGAGAAUGCCGGUAUGAGUAGCGAAAGACGGGUGAGAAUCCCGUCCACCGAAUGCCUAAGGUUUCCUGAGGAAGGCUCGUCCGCUCAGGGUUAGUCAGGACCUAAGCCGAGGCCGACAGGCGUAGGCGAUGGACAACAGGUUGAUAUUCCUGUACCACCUCUUUAUCGUUUGAGCAAUGGAGGGACGCAGAAGGAUAGAAGAAGCGUGCGAUUGGUUGUGCACGUCCAAGCAGUUAGGCUGAUAAGUAGGCAAAUCCGCUUAUCGUAAAGGCUGAGCUGUGAUGGGGAAGCUCCUUAUGGAGCGAAGUCUUUGAUUCCCCGCUGCCAAGAAAAGCUUCUAGCGAGAUAAAAGGUGCCUGUACCGCAAACCGACACAGGUAGGCGAGGAGAGAAUCCUAAGGUGUGCGAGAGAACUCUGGUUAAGGAACUCGGCAAAAUGACCCCGUAACUUCGGGAGAAGGGGUGCUUUCUUAACGGAAAGCCGCAGUGAAUAGGCCCAAGCGACUGUUUAGCAAAAACACAGCUCUCUGCGAAGCCGUAAGGCGAAGUAUAGGGGGUGACACCUGCCCGGUGCUGGAAGGUUAAGGAGAGGGGUUAGCGUAAGCGAAGCUCUGAACUGAAGCCCCAGUAAACGGCGGCCGUAACUAUAACGGUCCUAAGGUAGCGAAAUUCCUUGUCGGGUAAGUUCCGACCCGCACGAAAGGUGUAACGAUUUGGGCACUGUCUCAACCAGAGACUCGGUGAAAUUAUAGUACCUGUGAAGAUGCAGGUUACCCGCGACAGGACGGAAAGACCCCGUGGAGCUUUACUGUAGCCUGAUAUUGAAUUUUGGUACAGUUUGUACAGGAUAGGCGGGAGCCAUUGAAACCGGAGCGCUAGCUUCGGUGGAGGCGCUGGUGGGAUACCGCCCUGACUGUAUUGAAAUUCUAACCUACGGGUCUUAUCGACCCGGGAGACAGUGUCAGGUGGGCAGUUUGACUGGGGCGGUCGCCUCCUAAAGUGUAACGGAGGCGCCCAAAGGUUCCCUCAGAAUGGUUGGAAAUCAUUCGUAGAGUGCAAAGGCAUAAGGGAGCUUGACUGCGAGACCUACAAGUCGAGCAGGGACGAAAGUCGGGCUUAGUGAUCCGGUGGUUCCGCAUGGAAGGGCCAUCGCUCAACGGAUAAAAGCUACCCCGGGGAUAACAGGCUUAUCUCCCCCAAGAGUCCACAUCGACGGGGAGGUUUGGCACCUCGAUGUCGGCUCAUCGCAUCCUGGGGCUGUAGUCGGUCCCAAGGGUUGGGCUGUUCGCCCAUUAAAGCGGCACGCGAGCUGGGUUCAGAACGUCGUGAGACAGUUCGGUCCCUAUCCGUCGCGGGCGUAGGAAAUUUGAGAGGAUCUGCUCCUAGUACGAGAGGACCAGAGUGGACUUACCGCUGGUGUACCAGUUGUCUUGCCAAAGGCAUCGCUGGGUAGCUAUGUAGGGAAGGGAUAAACGCUGAAAGCAUCUAAGUGUGAAACCCACCUCAAGAUGAGAUUUCCCAUGAUUAUAUAUCAGUAAGAGCCCUGAGAGAUGAUCAGGUAGAUAGGUUAGAAGUGGAAGUGUGGCGACACAUGUAGCGGACUAAUACUAAUAGCUCGAGGACUUAUCCAA